UUGUGUUUCUUAUGUCAUAACUUCUGAGCCACACUUUUUUCCAUCUUCUAUUUCAGUGUUGCUCUUAAGAUAGUACCUACUCAGUCUCUCAGGAUCUCGAAUAUGUUCAUACAUAUGAGUUUGCAAACCAAUGAGAUUAAAAGAGUGAGCAAAUCUUAGCAUCCUCUGGAAAAUACCACAGUGUCACGUCUACAUGCUAAAGGGUUGGGAGCUGUACUGGGAAUAUCUUAAGCAGUUUGUUAAGUGGCUGCCAUCUCUUACUGCCAUUGAGAUUGAAACUGUCUUUGCAGCCUGAUAAAUCACCUAUGGUAACAGCAAAAGAGAGGCAAGGCGAGGCAAGGUGACUUAUGAAUGGCUAACCAGAAGCAAAGAUCAAAACCACCUAACUUGGAUUGAGAACCCUAGUCUAGGGAUGAUAUUUUGAUCUCUUAGUAGGCAUGCCUUUAAAAGAAAUGAUGUACUUAGCAUAUUUUCUGUGUUUUGCUUUUCAGUUUAUUGAUUGAUAGUGAAAAGUAUUUUUAAACCAAAUACAAUCUAAGGCCACUUAAAUGAAAUUUAUUAAAACUCAGCAUUGUUUUUGUUUUAGCACUUUGCAGAUUUUCUUCAAGCAUUCAGUGAAAACAAUUUUGAUCUCAGUGUAUAAAACUAUCUUAUUGAUUUUUUAAUGAACUCAUUUCUCUGUAUGCUUCUCACCUAGAUGUGUACUUCCCAGAUGUUUAAUAAGGUAUUUAUUCAGCCUUUUAUAACUCUAGGAGUUGAAGUGGAAUUUUAUCAUUGGUUUCUUUAGAGCUUUCUUAACUGCUUAUCACUAUUGGAGGCUCCCUGACUAUGUGAGUGUGACUCACUGAGGAACCCAUAACCUCCACCUCCACUGAGGCUGUUUACUGCUCUUGAUAUUGUGUGAAACUCGUCAGGGUUACCACCAGUUUAGGAGAAGCAUCUCUGCACUGGCCCAUCUGAUGAAUAGUAGUCAUACUUCUCUUUAUUGUUGCAGUCUUCAGUGAUCAUGAUUCACUAACUUUCUGUGCUAGAUAUAGUUCAUGCUUAGCAUAGCCAUGCAGGAUAACUUCCAGGUCCUUAAUCUGUUACCCUUAGGAGUUGUCUCGUUGUUAGUUUACAGGUUCUCCCCUUUUUAGUAUGUUACUAGCCUUGUAUUGUACAUGUGACAAAUGUUCUUCCAAAGAACAUUGAAUACAAACAUUGGUCAUUUUAGCCAAGUUAGAAUUUUAGUUCCAAGCUACCUAAAAUUUAAUAACACAGUCCACGUCAAAUAAUGUAAACUAGUAUAUGAUAUAAUUUCAAAAGGUAUCAAAAGUUAUUCUCUAUUCGUGGGAACAUUGGUUGUGGUACUGCUCAUUAGCUUUAUAUACACUGGUGUUUUAUUCAGAAACAAUUUUCUGAAUUUUUCUGGACCUCAAGUAAUAGAAUUUUCAUAUUGUUUUUUCUUGAUUUUUUUCUUCCAAAAUUAUAACACAGACUGUAGCUGAUGCCAUAAUAAAGAAAUGUACCUUCAUGCUACUCAUUUAAAUAUCCUUGCGUGUGACUAAUUAACUUAAUUCAUUAGUACACUCUAUUAAUAAGGCAAGCAAAAAUCCUUUGUUCUGUGUUUGUGUUAGCUUACUAAUUUUGUUCUUCAACAUGGCAAAAUUUUUAUCCCUGUCCAUGGUCAAACUGCCUAUAAAAUCACUUUCAAUCACAGGUUGGGACUAGUGUGCUAGUAUAUAUGCCUCUCUGCCAAAAAAAAAAAAAAAAAAAAAUAUGACACUUAAUAGAAUUCAACUAAAUAUGCCUGAUUGGAGGUGAAAACAUCUAUGUGACAGAUAGCAUGUGUUUAUCAUUGGUCAUAUUUUUAACUAUGGGGUUUUCUCUGAUGCUAGUUAUGAUGAGAAGGAGGAAACAAUAAAUCAGGUUGCAUCUGGAUAGUGCUACAGGCACAAAAAAGAGAAUCAUGUCUUUGAAAAAUGUUUGACAUUGUGUUUGACUCUUAUGAGUCAGUCAUAAUAUAACACUUUAUAAAAGCUAGACUUGUCCUUUCAGCUGUUUUAUAUAGUAUCCUCUUAACUUACAGCUUAAGUUAGUUGACUCAUUCAGUUUGAAGAAUAAAAGGAAUAAAUCCUCAAAGCAUUCUUAUCUAAAAGAGAAAGGAAUUUUGUUAUGCUAAUAAGUAUCAUAGAAAAUUUUCCUUUAAAGAAAAGUUCAGCAGGGCCAGUGCCAACUGUUGUGUUGGUAAUUGUAUUGAACCUUUUCAUAGAAUUAGUGGGGAUUUGAACUCUUUUUUAAAAGUUAUAAUCUAAAGACUUUUUUAUAGUUAGCUCAUCAUUAAUUUUUAUGUCAAAACUUGCAGAAGGCCAGGCACGGUGGCUCACACCUGUAAUCCCACCACUCUGGGAGGCCAAGGCGGGUGGAUCACCUGAGGUCAGGAAUUUCAGACCAGCCUGGCCAACAUUGUGAAACCCUGUGUCUACUUUAAAAAUACACAAAAAAAAUUAGCCGGGCAUGGUGGCGCACACCUGUAAUACCAGCUACUCGGGAGGCUGAGGCAGGAGAAUCGUUUGAACCUAGGAGGCGGAGGUUCCAGUGAGCUGAGAUGGCGCCACUGCACUCCAGCCUGGGCAACAGAGUGAGACUGUCUCAAAAAAAAAAAAAAAAAACUUAACAGAAAAGUGUGCAUUUAUGUUUGUAUGUGCCCUAGUGUAGAAAAGUAAAAUGUACUGGGAAAUUAACAUGAUAGUUUAUUGUUUUUGAGUUUUUUUACAGGUAUAUAGCAAUUACUGUCUCAUAAUUUACAUUUUUAUAUGGAAACAUACUUCUGGGUUUCCUUUUGGUUUUUAUUUUCUUACCUCUCUACAUUCUACUAUCCCAAUCUGAUUAAAAAUGAGAAAUACUUUUUCAUAUCUCUUAUAUUUGUAUUUCUUGUCAAACAACACUUGCUUACCCCACAGUGUCAAGAAGCAUGUUUUUUUUUAAUUACAUAAAAGGGUGAAACUAAUUAUUCAACCAAAUAAUGAAAACACUAGUAGACUUGGAGCAAUUUUUUUUCACUGUGGCACAAGUAAUGUUUAAAAGUUUGUAUUUGAACUUAAAGAAAUUUUGCCCUAAAUUAACAAGCCCAACUGAGCAAAGUAUUUUUAGACCAGAUAGGGUAUGGGCAGUAGAAAUACAGGAUCUUUCAUUAUUUUUCCUUUGGUGGAUAGGGAGGAGGAUGGGGAAAUAUCUCAAGGAUAAAAUGCUCUAGGUCUUUUAUCCAUGUGUCCCAGUGGACCACAACUGAAAUCAGGACUAACAUUACUGCUGGGGAAAUGAAUGUACUAGUCUUUUGUUAUGAAUGUGAAACUACUGAACUGUUCAUUCAAAACAAGGUUGAGUAAACCCCUGUCAACAGAAACAGAAGAAACCCUGGCUACACACAUAAGACUUUCUGAACAAUGCACUGUAUAAUGGGAAAGAACAACAAAAUAAAAGUCAGAAUCCUGAUGGCCCUUAGUCAUUUGUAACUGGUGUUAGGCAUAUCACUUAAAGCCACUGAGUUUCAGUUGGACUCAUUUGCAAAGUAUGGAAUUUUUACUGUGUUGUCUGUUGAAGCCUCUGUGUACUGUAAAACUCCAUAAUUCUUUGUGUCUCAUGUGAGUCAUUUCUAGUUCUAAAAGGUAGAAUAAUAGAGAAUUGGUUUGUAACAGCUUGGCAACCAACUGUCAAUAACUGGAGUCAAUGAAAGCAACUAUUUCAAAAGAUCAGAUUACUUACCAGUUUCACUAAUAAAGAUUUAUUACUUUAAACCUUUAUCAUAAAAUGUAUGCUUUGAAUACUGUGAAGUACACUGCAUAUAAGGAGUGUGGUAUAGUAUAAAGAAACUUUCUGCAGGUAGUAAUUAUAGUGAAGAUUUUAGGUUUACAAAGCCCUAGCUGUUUUCUGUGUAGCUUUUAUUAUUCUUAUGACUCUUGACAAGUUUGUAGCUUCACCAUAUACAUUUAAUAUUUUGCAAUAAUUGGCCUUGUUCCUGAGCUGUUGGAUUCGGGGCCGUAGCACUGUCUGAGAGGUUUACAUUUCUCACAGUGAACCGGUCUCUUUUUCAGCUGCUUCCUGGCUUCUUUUUACUCAGGUUUCCACUGCUUUUUUGCUUUUUUUAAUGCUGUAUGAAGGUGUUAACAUUUGUUUAUAUUUUUCAUUAAUUGUAAUACCUUUAAAUCAUGCAUCAUACUCAGAAAUAGGGAUUAGAAUUUAAGUGACAUCUUUGGCCUAAUAUAAUUUACCUGUUAAAAAUUUGUGAAAGCUAUUGCUUAUUUCUUUUCCAAAGUAGAUUUGGAUGACAAAUUCAGUUUGGUUUUGAGCUUAUCUAAAAAGCUUAAUGUUUUAAGCAUACCAAACUCAUUAGCAGAAGUCAAAUAUGUCUCUCCCUAUUGCUACACAACUUUUUAGGGAUAUUGUUAUAUAUGAAAGCAUGACAUCAAACGGACCUAAUACACCUAAAUGCAUUUGAAGCUACUUGGUCUCGGUUCUUACCAACGAUAUAAUUUAAUUUUUUUUUCCAAACGAUGAUGUUGUUGCAUACCUGUGGAAAGCAAAAUGAUUCUGUGAAACUAUACUUUUAGUUUUGCAACCAUUUGAUAACUUCAAAGAUUAUCAAUGUAUUAUAUCUUUAGUCUUAGCUUUCCAGAUAACCCAGAAUCAUAUGGUUCCAAGUUGAUUAAGCUUUGUUACCAGCAGACUAUGGUAGGAUCCUGAUGAACGACACUAUGGAAGAAACUUGUUAGGAUAAACAGUCUUCAAUGUGUGCAUAUUGUUGACAGAAUUUGAAGGCACAAAUUUAAGAGUAACUAGGGUGUAAAAGGCGAGCAAAGAAAAGUCAGCACUACUGGGUAAGCAGGUGAGGGGGCUUAUUGAUAGGAGAGUCGGCUAUGUCAAAUAGGGACUCAAGGCACAAAGUCAAUUUCUUUACUGACAACUUUCAAUCCAAGUAAUAGGAAUUUUGUAUUUGUAAAUUACUAGGUAGUGGCUCUGGCUAUUCUUGUUUUUUCAUUGAUUUCUGUGAGCAUUUCUUAGUAUGUAUUGUGUGAUUCAGCAUAGAUUCAGACAUUGUAUAAUACCUACAAAUCCACCUAUUUCCCUUUUCCCUUCUCCAUUAACCUGCCGCCACUGAAAUCUGGAGCCAAAUAUAUCUGAUCAUUGGAUUUUUCUUUCUCAAACUUGGCAGUCUUCAAACUAUACUUUUGACACUAUGAGAACUCUGUACCCACUCUUGCUUUUGUCUGAAUAAUUAGACAAGGAACCUAACCUACAAUGCCACUUCUCUAGGUGUCACUCUGUAACGGUUCAUGCCCAGCAGUCUGAAAUUUCUUUGUUUAAACAAAAGUUCAGAGGAAUUCAUGAGCAACUUGAACAGUUCAAGAUGUAAAUUUUAUUAAGCAAAUGUACAUAAUGUGAGGCAUACCUGUAAUUAAAUGAUCCUUUAUUUUAUGUUAACAAUUAUUUUAUUAAUGAUUUUGUCUUACAUAGGCAAGAGUAAGGUUCUUAUCUUUGAUUGGAUUAGGAGAAUGAUGUGGGCUUUUUUGUUUUUAGUGCUUUCCAGCUGAGUAUUUCUAGUUUUGCUUGUGAUUAUAGUAAUUUUAACCAACAUAGAUCCCAGUUUUAUUUUCUUUUUCAUUGGAACAAAUGUUAGCCUGUUAAUGCCUGUUGAGUACUUUUCUGCUAAGCACUGCAUUAGAAAAAGACCAAUAAUCUUUUAGUAAUCUUUAAUGUUCUGCUCUUUAGAGAAUAUAAUUCAAAAUUAUAUACUUUUUAGCCAGUUGCUGUGUUGUAUGUUAUAAUUAUUAGAAUGAGUGAUAAAACAUUUCAUCAUGAUUUCUGGAAAAAACAUUCAUAUUCCUGUCCUAAUGCCAGUCGAAUUUCCCUUCUGGGGUACCGAUCAUUCUGAGCAUCAAAUGUUAAAUGACAAUUUUAGUUGUGUUAGUUUAGAACAGUUCUUCAGACCCUGAUGGCUUUCUACCCAGUGUAGUUUAAACCUGGUGAAUUUUCCUGCCUUGGAUGUAAAAAUGAAUGAAAUGCUACUCAGUGGAUGGAAAAAAGUCAUUGCUUCACAGAACUUCAAGACUUCGCCCAUAAAACGUAGCAGCUCUCCUUGCACAAAAUGUGUCCAGGUUAAAGCUGGCACUGCCCUGCUGAGUAAAGUCUGACUUCUUGGCAAAGCAGCCUGACUUUGUGGAGAAGACAGCCAGUAUCUAUGAAAACUCUGCUAGACUAAUCUUGUAUAGACUCAUCUGGAAUGUGGCAACAGACUUUUUGAGCAAAAGCAGCCUCCGAGGCAAAACAGCAAAACUAAAGCCCAAAGGGAACAUUGGAGAUUCACUUGGAAAUACUCAGGCUGAGAGACAGAACUGUGGGAUGUGGAACCUGAAAUAGUGUCACUAUUUGAGCCAGUUCUUCUCCUUCCCAAUUGUCUUUUGUUAUGUUUUAAUAUUUUUAGAGAUGGAGUCUCACUGUUUUGCCUAGACUGGAGUGCAGUGGCCCUUCCUAAUUGUUUAAUACAAUUUAUGCGUAUAAUCUAAUUAUAGUAAGGCAAGGAAGUGUAACUUUGAAAUACAUCAGUAGUAAACCACGCAUCUUGCGGGUAGUGGACAAACCAAGGGAAGGACUGUUCCUCCCACAGAGAGGACAUUGUGGGCUAAUCAUAUGCUUAUUUACACCUGCUCUUUUUUAAAGCCCCCAAGUUCAUGUGGCUACCAUCUGAACUAACUACCCAAAAAUUUUCACUCUGAUUCCUAUUUUGAAUAACAUGCUUAUACUCACCAAUAAAUCUUUAGUUCAAAUGAA